CGGAGGGUGCAAGCGUUAUCCGGAUUUACUGGGUUUAAAGGGUGCGUAGGUGGGCAGGUAAGUCAGUGGUGAAAUCUCCGAGCUUAACUCGGAAACUGCCAUUGAUACUAUCUGUCUUGAAUAUCCUGGAGGUAAGCGGAAUAUGUCAUGUAGCGGUGAAAUGCUUAGAUAUGACAUAGAACACCAAUUGCGAAGGCAGCUUACUACGGGAUCAUUGACACUGAGGCACGAAAGCGUGGGGAUCAAAACAGGAUUAGAUACCCUGGUAGUCCACGCCCUAAACGAUGGAUACUCGACAUACGCGAUACACUGUGUGUGUCUGAGCGAAAGCAUUAAGUAUCCCACCUGGGAAGUACGAUCGCAAGAUUG
rnacentral:rRNA from 1 species